CCGAACGACAGUCUUGGGCGCGGUUUUGGUCGAUUUGGCCUUCUUGGCUGGCGGCGGUGGAGGCGGCGGCAUGGUGCCGGGCGCCGGGGGCAGCACUUGCUCCAGCUUUACAUUUAGGCGGCUAAUCUCAGCGAUAAGCUGAGAUAUCUGAGCCUCUUGGCGCUCGCACCGCCGUUCUAGACGCUCAAUGAUCGCAUUCUGAUCAACGUGAGCGGGGGCGGCGGCUGGGGCGGUUGUGCGAAUCCGCACAAACGCACCGGCUUCGCUUUCUGCUGUCGGCUUGUCGGUGGGCAUCUUCUUCUCCGUGGGAGUCGUCUUCGUCGUGGGUGUCGUGUCGUGGGUGUCGUGUCGUGGGUGACAAAAAACCCGACGGACUCGCUUUUUCCCCGCUUUCGACUCGGCGGCGGAACAAGAUCUACCCUUGAGGUAGAUCUUGACCUUCGACUGGGUCGUGGUCGCUGAAGAUGCUGUCGAUGUGGAGGAGUCGGAAAGGGCGGCGUCCGUGUCGCCGUCCAUGCAAGCCGUCGAAGAAGCUGGCUUCGUAGCUGGUUUUGUUAAUGACGUUCGACUUGGUGAUAGCGCUCGAGCUCAGAGAGUCGACUGUUCGGUCCGGAGUCUGGAGCCCGAAUGCUAUGGCUUUAUCCAACUGUUUAUUUAAAGACACGAGCAGGAUUGACAACUCCAUCUAACGGUUGACACUGUAGAUAGCUCAAGCAAGCAUAUUGAUAGUAGAGGUGGAUUUUAAUAUUAUCUCUAUAAAACUUUGUUUUCAAAGCAAGAUUAUUGUGUUAGGUAUAUGUACCUAAUAAAUAGUUACGUACCUUC